UAUAUCAAGAUAAGCGAGUGUGAAGCUUCGUAAAUUAGUAGAAAAAAUUAUCAAGAUGAAUACGAGAGCUUUCGCAGUGUUGUUUCUUUUGUUGGCGGCUGUUUUCCUUCCCAAUGUGGUUGCGCCCGUGGAUGACUCAAAACAUGGUUAUAGGAUCAUAUUUUUAAUUUGCUUCUUUAUGUGUAUGGUUAAGUUAACUGGUUUUCAUUUUCAUAUUAACAGAUGUUGGAAACCAAGUUGUGGACUCAAAAGUUUUCCUAUAAGAACGGGAGGUGUGAACAUAUAUGCUAGGGAGAUUCCUUCCAUAGAAGCAGAUGAAACUAAGUAUGAGCCGGACCAAGGAGGUAGCGACACGGAACGUGGAGGCGGUGGCAGAAACACUGAACGUAUAGAUGGUGGUUGUGACAGGAGUCAAAGAGGUCGUGGCAAUAGGCGAGGCCGUCGAGAUGGUGGGAUGUAAGAUCUUUAUCAUGUGCCUAGAACACCCUGCUUAUACGAAGGUGGAAGAAUAAGGGACCAAAAUCUCCAAUACCUUUGACCCAAAAAGAUAUUCUACUUUCUCCUUUGACUAAAACUGAUUUUAUUUUAUAGUUUUUUAAAAUCGAAAAUGUGUGGCUAAAGAAUUACAUAUCCCACCACCACCCACCUAAAUCCACCCAAUUAGGAUCUCGCCCUUUUCCUCUUUUAAUCUUUCCCGAAAAUCGAGUAUAAAAUUAUUCUUCACCUUCCAGUGUUAGUACAAGUUUACAACUAAGGAUAACUCGAGUCUGGGUAAGUUGAAGUCUGUUUAUGUUUUUUCAGUUUUAUGUUAAAUACAAAUGAAUGUUGGGUAAACUGAUUUUGUCGAUUUUGUUAUGGAAUUGAAUGUUGGAUAAGUAGGUUAGAAUUAGAGUGGAAUUGUUAAUUGGGUUUGUUCUCUUUUUUUUUGUUUGUGCAAGAAUCGCAAUAGUGCAUACAAAGAACCCAAGCUUUGUUGGACCAUCGAACCGAACAGAUACAAUCGUAGAAGAAGAAGAGACUCGUGGAGAUGAUUAUGAAGGAAUCUGAGAACGAUGUCGAAGUAAUGCAACCUCUGAAUAAGUACUUCGAGUACACCGAGUAUAGAAAGUCUUUCAAGUUAUCUGGAAUGUGUUAUAAUUCAAAGGCGAUGAAUUUAUUGGGAAGUCAUCUUCAACAAGACGAGUUGGAUUGGUUUCUAUUGCAUCCACAAUUCAAACAUUUCUUCCAUAUGCCCAAAGACUCCAAUCAUAAGUUGAUGGGUAUGUGGAUGCUCUUGAUUCGCAUGGCGCGUUUGGAGAAGAAAAAUAAAUGUUGGUUCAUGGUCAAUGGUGUACCCAUCUGGUAUCCUCUCAGAGAAAUGACAAUUAUUUCUGGGUCAUAUUGUCAUCAGUAUCCAUGUUUCAAGGAAAGUUUGGGCAGUUUAAACUUUGUUGGGAGGUACUUUUGAGGUUGGAUCAAAAAUAAAAUAUGAAGAUGUUAAAGCGAAGCUACUAUCAAUGAGGAAACUUUCUACAGAUCGUUUGAAGAUGGCAGUAUUGUAUUGCUUAUAUAGCGUCAUCAUAGGGGAGAAAAAAGAAGGGAAGAAAGCAACCUCUAUGGCCUUUCUUUCUUAGAGUCGUGGAUGAUCAUGAUAUGUGUAAAAUCUUCCCUUGUGGUCGAUUGACAUUUGAUGAGAACAUGAAAGACAUCUUUCGUUUGAUGGGCCACUUUGGUGGAGAUGUGGAUACACGGUGGGUCUUUCCUAGUUUCAUAAUUCCUUUGGAGGUAAAUAUUAGAUUUUUAAAUGUAUAACUUCGUAUAACUGGGGGAUGAUGUGGAUCCUGAUGAUGUUAGUCAGGAUGAUGUUGGUGUGGAUCAAGAUGAUGUGAACCCGAAGAAUGUGAAUCUGGUUGAUGUGGCGCUGGAGAAUUUGUUACAACUUGCAGCAAGCUUGCUUCAGCUAGAAGAUUGGGUGAACAAAGGGUUUAAGGAUAGCACUAACAAAUUUUAUGUCCUUGAUGCUAGGGUCAAAUAUGUGGAAUUAUAUGUGAAGGAUAAGGUACAACCUGAGAGUGAGAUGAUACAUGCAACUUGGGUCUUAGAAGGAACAACUUGGGCAAAGAUAGGACAAGAUACAAAUUACAACCAGAUAUUGUACCAACAAGUAUUCACUUAGUUGUACCAGAACAAAAAACAAGUUUUACUUAGUUGUACUAUAUUCCAAAA